rnacentral:pre_miRNA from 1 species
UAUAAUAUUUGACUCUUCAUCUUAUUUAAUUUUUUUAUAAUUAAUAUUUUUAUUGUUAUUAGAUGAUAAAAGAUAAAUAUUAUUUUACGCAUGACUAUUUUUUUUAGUUUUUCUUAUAUAUUUUUUAAGUAAGACGGAUGGUCAAACACUGGACACUCAAACCAA